rnacentral:rRNA from 1 species
AACGAACGCUGGCGGCAGGCCUAACACAUGCAAGUCGAACGCCCUAGCAAUAGGGAGUGGCGCACGGGUGCGUAACGCGUGGGAAUAUGCCCUUCACUGCGGAAUAACGUUUGGAAACGAACGCUAAUACCGCAUAAUGACUCCGGUCCAAAGAUUUAUCGGUGAAGGAUUAGCCCGCGUUAGAUUAGCUAGUUGGUGAGGUAAUGGCUCACCAAGGCGACGAUCUAUAGCUGGUCUGAGAGGAUGAUCAGCCACACUGGGACUGAGACACGGCCCAGACUCCUACGGGAGGCAGCAGUGAGGAAUAUUGGACAAUGGGCGCAAGCCUGAUCCAGCCAUGCCGCGUGAGUGAAGAAGGCCUUCGGGUUGGUUAAAGACUCUUUCCUAGAUGUGAAGAUAAU